CCCGAAGCCCCUGCUGUACAGGAAGAGGGAAAGAUGCUUCCCCAUCAGCCAACUGCAUCCACUGGAAAGAGGUAAGUGUGUGUGUGUGACUGUUUGCCUGUUUGUGUGACUGUCUGUCUGUGUGUGUGUGUGACUGUCUGUCUGUGUGACUGCCUGUCCUUGUGUGUGUGUGUGUGUGUGUGACUGUCUGUCUCUGUGUGUG